rnacentral:rRNA from 1 species
GGAGCAAAACUCAAAAAAAUAAGUCUCAGUUCGGAUUNAAGGCUGAAAUUCGCCUUCAUGAAGCCGGAAUUGCUAGUAAUGGCAGGUCAGCAUACUGCCGUGAAUACGUUCCCGGGCCUUGUACACACCGCCCGUCACACCAUGAGAGUUGGGAAUACCCGAAGCCUGUGAGCUAACUUUUAGAGGCAGCAGUCGAAGGUAGAAUCAAUGAUUGGGGUGAAGUCGUAACAAGGUAAC